rnacentral:tRNA from 1 species
GCGCCCGUAGCUCAACGGAUAGAGCAUCUGACUACGGAUCAGAAGGUUGGGGGUUCGAAUCCCUCCGGGCGC